rnacentral:tRNA from 1 species
CUGGAAAAUGACGAAGCAACCUGGAAGGUCUCAGGAUCAUCCUGGUCAGCCAAGUCCAAACUGGUGCUCGAAUUCUUGCGCCCACACUUAUCGGUUGUUACGACAGAUGCAGAAGAUUGGGGUCUGUAGCUCAGUCGGUUAGAGCACCGUCUUGAUAAGGCGGGGGUCGUUGGUUCGAAUCCAACCAGACCCACCACCGGUCAUCAAGAAGGGGGAUUAGCUCAGCUGGGAGAGCACCUGCUUUGCAAGCAGGGGGUCGUCGGUUCGAUCCCGUCAUCCUCCACCAUUCUUCUGUAGUUCCUCUAGAGCAGACCUGAGCGCUUGUCGUCAAGCGUUCAGGUCUGCCUUUGAGAAAAGGCUGUUGUUCUUUAAAAAUUCGUAGAGUCGAAUCAGCGUUGCUGAUGGAAAGCGAGCAUGCAUCCUUCGGGGUGGCGUGUGAGCACCGUGCCAUCAGUAACGCAUUGAUUGCGUCAACAGACUUCAACCGAGAAA